CCGACCGUUGGUAUCACAUGCUCACAAAUGUUUCACCUUGAGACACGGCACAGGGCCUCAGUUCAUGUCCAGGACCUCAUAUAAAAAAGUCAAUUGCUGCGUAGAGUUGCGUAAAAAAUGAGUUUCCAGGGAAAACAGCGUCAAGGUCGCUAGUUUUUAGCACACACACGUUCCUUUCCAGUGCAAGGAGGCUGCUAAAAAACGGUCAACGCUUAAAAAACACAAUAAAAAAUAGAGUGUAACAGAGCUGACUUUUUGACUUUUCAACUUCGCUUAAUUGCCCAAAAGUCGUAAAUAGAUGCAAACCAAAAGUAAAUACAGACGGAAAUGUUAGCUAGCUACUAAAUUAUGCCAGGCAGUACGAGCUCCCCCCGUCCGUUGCGUAUAUCAGGCCUCAAAAUGUCAGAGAAGUCAACUCGUUUCGCAUUUACAUAGAUUUGAUUGCAUCAUUUUGACCAAACGACUGUAUAACCAGCACAUAUCAAUCACCCUCAGAGAUGGGCAGACGGACAGGCACAGGCACAGGUCCAAGCCCAGAGUCGAACUUGCGCCUCGGAUUUAGACUCGUGUUCGCUCUCAAAACUAAUUUGCAUAUUUUUGAUUUAACAGCUCGGACUUAGGUUAGUCGGUAACAAAGCA
rnacentral:lncRNA from 1 species